rnacentral:rRNA from 1 species
UACGGAGGGUCCAAGCGUUAUCCGGAAUCAUUGGGUUUAAAGGGUCCGUAGGCGGUUUUGUAAGUCAGUGGUGAAAGCCCAUCGCUCAACGGUGGAACGGCCAUUGAUACUGCAAGACUUGAAUUAUUGGGAAGUAACUAGAAUAUGUAGUGUAGCGGUGAAAUGCUUAGAGAUUACAUGGAAUACCAAUUGCGAAGGCAGGUUACUACCAAUACAUUGACGCUGAUGGACGAAAGCGUGGGGAGCGAACAGG